GACUCGUUAGGCCGGUUGGAACCCGUUAAGUUAUUUCUGAAAAUUAAAACCCUUUCUACUCUGUUGAAAGAAGCGAUCCAAGUAUAUCCAACGAUGGCUCUCUCACCCUCUCUGCCUCUCUCGUAGACUCCAUAACUCCAUCUCUCUCUUUUUCAUCCAAACCCACAAUUUCAGAGUGAGAGAGAUCUGAGCUGGGAUGCCUGGGAUUGGGUUCUGAAGUGCUUAUUGGGAUUUGGGUGGAAACAAGAAAAAGAGCGUGCUGAAUUGGAGGAUCUUACUGAAAAAGGGGGUCACUGAUGGAGCAGAUGCCAACGCUUCUCCCAUCUCUCAAGUCUAUGUUCAGAAUUGGAAACAUUUCCAGAAGGGGAAUUGUCGAGAAUCACUUUACAUCUUCCAUGUUCCAAAGGGUCGGAGUCAUGGAAAACACGGGUUUCUAAAUUCUAAACCUAAGUACCUAACUCUUUGCUAUCACUGGGGAUUUCAGAAUACCAUGAGCUCCAUUGUGUGAUACUCCAUUCCACUUGGUUUAUAUAAAAGCUCUAGGAACAAAAAGUUUGCAGAUUUAUUUCCUAGAUCUCUUGAGUACUAUGUGAACCUUCUCCAAGAAAUCUAUCUUGAGUAAAACGAUUGUGUUGUCAGAUUAAGUUGUUGAACUUUUCACAUAAUAGUAUGGAAUCCAUUAUCCUUCUUUGUAGAGCUUUAUGUUCCUCUCUUCUUCUUUUUUCCCCCUAAACAAAUCUUGCUUUACAGAUCUAUGUUCCUUCUUACCAUCAACCUAUGCCUUCUGGGUAUGUUUUUUUAUUUCUUUUGCUGAGUGUUUGUGUGGUACUUUCUUCUUCUUCUUCUUCGUUUUCUUCCUUUUUGUUUUUUUAGUGUCAAUUAAUAGUAUUUAAAUUUUGACCUUUCUCAUUAAUCACACUAUCAACUU